UACAGAGGUCUCAAGCGUUGUUCGGAUUCAUUGGGCGUAAAGGGUGUGUAGGUGGCGCCGUAAGUCGGGUGUGAAAUUUCGGAGCUUAACUCCGAAACUGCAUUCGAUACUGCGGUGCUUGAGGACUGGAGAGGAGACUGGAAUUUACGGUGUAGCGGUGGAAUGCGCAGAUAUCAGGAGGAACACCGGUGGCGAAGGCGGGUCUCUGGGCAGUAACUGACGCUGAGAAGCGAAAGCGUGGGGAGCGAACAAG
rnacentral:rRNA from 1 species